GACGAACGCUGGCGGCGUGCUUAACACAUGCAAGUCGUACGGUAAGGCCCUUUCGGGGGUGCACGAGUGGCGAACGGGUGUGUAACACGUGAGUAACCUGCCCACAACUUUGGGAUAACGCCAGGAAACUGGCGCUAAUACUGGAUAUGUGCUCCUGCAGCCUGGCGGGGGUUGGCAAGCUCCGGCGGUUGUGGAUGGACUGGCGGCCGAUCAGCUUGUUGGUGGGGUAGUGGCCUACCAAGGCGGCGACGGGUAGCCGGCCGGAGAGGGUGACCGGCCACAUUGGGACUGAGAUACGGCCCAGACUCCUACGGGAGGCAGCAGUGGGGAAUAUUGCACAAUGGGCGCAAGCCUGAUGCAGCAACGCCGCGUGCGGGAUGACGGACUUCGGGUUGUAAACCGCUUUCAGCAGGGACGAAGCUUUUUGUGACGGUACCUGCAGAAGAAGCACCGGCUAACUACGUG
rnacentral:rRNA from 1 species